UACGGAGGGGGUUAGCGUUGUUCGGAAUGACUGGGCGUAAAGCGCGCGUAGGCGGUCUGGAAAGUUGGGGGUGAAAUCCCGGGGCUCAACCCCGGAAUGGCCUUCAAAACUCCCAGCCUAGAGUUCGAGAGAGGUGAGUGGAAUUCCGAGUGUAGAGGUGAAAUUCGUAGAUAUUCGGAGGAACACCAGUGGCGAAGGCGGCUCACUGGCUCGACACUGACGCUGAGGUGCGAAAGCGUGGGGAGCAAACAGG
rnacentral:rRNA from 1 species